rnacentral:rRNA from 1 species
UACAGAGGUCUCGAGCGUUGUUCGGAUUCAUUGGGCGUAAAGCGCACGUAGGCGGAUUUGUAAGUCAGGGGUGAAAUCCCGGGGCUCAACCUCGGAACUGCCUUUGAUACUGCGAAUCUCGAGUCCGAUAGAGGUGGGUGGAAUUCCUAGUGUAGAGGUGAAAUUCGUAGAUAUUAGGAAGAACACCGGUGGCGAAGGCGGCCCACUGGAUCGGUACUGACGCUGAGGUGCGAAAGCGUGGGGAGCAAACAGG